GGGUUAGACUGUCUCCUUUUUCAAAUCAGUGAAAUUAAUCUCCCCGUGAAGAAGCGGGGAUACUCAUAUAAGACGAGAAGACCCCAUGGAGCUUCAAACCCAACUACACCCCUAGCUCUUAUAGCCCCACAACCCCCCCCCCCC
rnacentral:rRNA from 1 species